rnacentral:rRNA from 1 species
CCGUGACGCUGGCGGUAUGCUUAACACAUGCAAGUCGAACGGAAACGAAACUAGCUUGCUAGUAGGCGUCGAGUGGCGGACGGGUGAGUAACGCGUAGGAAUCUGCCUGAUAGUGGGGGAUAGCCCGAAGAAAUUCGGAUUAAUACCGCAUAAUCUAUUCGUAGUAAAGUGGGGGACUUUCGAGCCUCACGCUAUCAGAUGAGCCUGCGUAAGAUUAGCUUGUUGGUAGGGUAAAAGCCUACCAAGGCAACGAUCUUUAGCUGGUCUGAGAGGAUGAUCAGCCACAUCGGGACUGAGACACGGCCCGAACUCCUACGGGAGGCAGCAGUGGGGAAUAUUGGACAAUGGGGGCAACCCUGAUCCAGCAAUACCGCGUGUGUGAAGAAGGCCUGAGGGUUGUAAAGCACUUUCAAUUGUGAAGAAAAGUCAACGGUUAAUAACCGUUGACCUUGACGUUAACUUUAGAAGAAGCACCGGCUAACUCCGUGCCAGCAGCCGCGGUAAUACGGAGGGUGCAAGCGUUAAUCGGAAUUACUGGGCGUAAAGCGUGCGUAGGCGGUUUAUUAAGUCAGAUGUGAAAGCCCCGGGCUUAACCUGGGAACUGCAUUUGAAACUGGUCAACUAGAGUAUGGUAGAGGAAAGUGGAAUUUCUGGUGUAGCGGUGAAAUGCGUAGAUAUCAGAAGGAACAUCAAUGGCGAAGGCAGCUUUCUGGACCAAUACUGACGCUGAGGUACGAAAGCGUGGGUAGCAAACAGGAUUAGA